UACAGAGGCCCCAAGCGUUAUCCGGAAUCACUGGGCGUAAAGGGUGUGUAGGUGGUUUUGUUAGUCGACUGUUAAAUCCCGCGGCCUAACCGCGGAAAUGCAAUCGAAACGGCAAAACUAGAGGAUGCGAGGGGUGAAUGGAACUCAUGGAGUAGGGGUGAAAUCCGUUGAUAUCAUGGGGAACACCAAAAGCGAAGGCAGUUCACUGGCGCAUUCCUGACACUGAAACACGAAAGCGUAGGUAGCGAAUGGG
rnacentral:rRNA from 1 species